rnacentral:ncRNA from 1 species
CGGGUUCUCGAAUUAAAAGGGAAUCGGGUGCAAAUCCAGAACAGUCCCGCUGCUGUGAAGCUCCGCUCGAAUUUUCCGAGAUAAUACCCCAUGCCACUGAUCAAAUCGGGAAGGCAUUCGGAAAAAAGGAGUCAGUCAGAAGACCUGCCAUUCAUUAA